rnacentral:rRNA from 1 species
AGCUCCAAUAGCGUAUAUUAAUUUUGUUGCAGUUAAAAAGCUCGUAGUUGGAUUUCUUUUAUGUUAAAGGGUUCGGAUGUUCCCUGCACUCUGUGUAGGGCAUCUUCCUUUGAUGUAAAAUAGUUUGUGAUUCUUUGUACUUGGUUAUGUUCGCUUAAGCUCUUCAUUGAGUUUAUGUGGGUUGACUGGUACACAUAGGGAAUUGCAUCAUUUACUGUGAAAAAAUCAAAGCGUUCAAAGCAGGCUUUAUGCACUCUGAAUGUCUCAGCAUGGAAUAAUAAGAUAGGUCUCAUCCUCAUUUUGUUGGUUUGCAAGGAAGAGAAAUGAUUAACAGGGACAAUUGGGGGUAUUCGUAUUAGAUUGUCAGAGGUGAAAUUCUUGGAUUUAUUUAAGACGAACAACUGCGAAAGCAUUUACCAAGGAUGUUUUCA